rnacentral:rRNA from 1 species
GUCUGCGGCCAUGCUACCCUGAGCAAGCCCGAUCCCGUCUGAUCUCGGAAGCUAAGCAGGGUGGGGCCUGGUUAGCACUUGGAUGGGAGACCACCUAGGAAGACCAGGUGCUGUAGGUG